GUACGGGGGGAGGCAAGCGUUGUUCGGAUUUACUGGGCGUAAAGGGCGCGUAGGCGGCCACCGCAAGUCGACUGUGAAAUCUCCGGGCUUAACCCCGGAAAGGUCAGCCGAUACUGCGGGGCUAGAGUGCAGAAGGGGCAACUGGAAUUCUCGGUGUAGCGGGUGAAAUGCGUAGAUAUCGAGAGGAACACCUGCGGCGAAGGCGGGUUGCUGGGCUGACACUGACGCUGAGGCGCGAAAGCUAGGGGAGCGAACGGG
rnacentral:rRNA from 1 species